UACGGAGGAUGCGAGCGUUAUCCGGAUUUAUUGGGUUUAAAGGGUGCGUAGGCGGACGCUUAAGUCAGCGGUAAAAUUGCGGGGCUCAACCUCGUCGAGCCGUUGAAACUGGGUGCCUUGAGUGGGCGAGAAGUACGCGGAAUGCGUGGUGUAGCGGUGAAAUGCAUAGAUAUCACGCAGAACUCCGAUUGCGAAGGCAGCGUACCGGCGCCCAACUGACGCUGAAGCGCGAAGGCGUGGGUAUCGAACAGG
rnacentral:rRNA from 1 species